AUUGAACGCUGGCGGCAUGCUUUACACAUGCAAGUCGAACGGCAGCGCGUGCUUCGGCCUUGCGGCGAGUGGCAAACGGGUGAGUAAUACAUCGGAACUGGCCUAGUAGGGGGGGAUAGCUCGCCGAAAGCCGGAUUAAUACCGCUUACGACCUUGAGGUGAAAACGGGGUAUUUUAGGACCUCGCGCUUUUGGAUCGGCCGAUGGCAGAUUAGCUAGUUGGUGGGGUAACGGCCUACCAAGGCGACGAUCUGUAGCUGGCCUGAGAGGGAGACGAGCCACCCCAGAACUGUACCACGACCCAGACUACUACGGGAGGCGGGAGUGGGGAGUGUUGGACAGAGGGAGGAAGCAUGGUCCAGCAAUGCCGCGUGUGUGAUGAAGGCCUUCGGCUUGUAGAGCACUUUUGGCGGGAAAGAAAGGGACUGUUACAAUACCACGGUUCGAUGACGGUACCCGAAGAAUAAGCACCGGCUAACUACGUG
rnacentral:rRNA from 1 species